CCUACGGGAGGCAGCAGUGAGGAAUAUUGGUCAAUGGGCGAGAGCCUGAACCAGCCAAGUCGCGUGAAGGAUGAAGGAUCUAUGGUUUGUAAACUUCUUUUAUAUGGGAAUAAAGUGCGGUACGUGUUCCUUUUUGUAUGUACCAUAUGAAUAAGCAACGGCUAACUCCGUGCCAGCAGCCGCGGUAAUACGGAGGCUGCGAGCGUUAUCCGGAUUUAUUGGGUUUAAAGGGUGCGUAGGUGGUUAAUUAAGUCAGCGGUGAAAGUUUGUGGCUCAACCCUAAAAUUGCGGUUGAAACUGGUUGACUUGAGUAUAUGUGAGGUAGGCGGAAUUCGUGGUGUAGCGGUGAAAUGCAUAGAUAGCACGCAGAACUCCGAUUGCGAAGGCAGCUUACUGAACUAUAACUGACGCUGAGGCACGAAAGCGUGGGGAUCAAACAGGAUUAGAUACCCUUGUAGUC
rnacentral:rRNA from 1 species